UGACAUAUUUGGUUCAACACAAGUGAAAAUGAGUUCACGGAAACAAGAUAACAUAGAAGCAUUGAGUUCACCAGUGUCAUUUCCAAGAAGAUCAUUUUGUCGGACACAACGGAGUACUACAGGAGAUGACAGUUCUGCACUGAAUUCUCCUGUUUUCCCAACUUACAUGGCUGCAACAGAAUCUGCAAAGGCAAAGGCGAGGUAGAUGAGCACACCGAGGCAACGAAUAGGAAUUCAGGAUCAUUUUCUCAUUGACAGCUUAUCAUACAAAAGUGGACUUUCUUUUUGGUCUUCUUAUAACAGUGAAUGGUUCGGAAAUAGUAGCGAAGCUGCUCAGCGCGUUCCUGUAAGCGUAAAUCGCCAUUAUUGAUGAGAUGCCUGGCUUGCUUCUCAACAAAAUUAAUACCAACCAGAAGAGUUAAUGCUUCUCAAGAAUUACUUGAUCAGUCACUAACAAGACAAUGAAGUAACUUCAAGCUGUGGUCAUUGGAGAGCUCGAAUACACAGCGGCUCGAAUGAUCGUUCUUUGCCGGGAAAAUAUUUUUGUGGGGGUGAAUUGAAAGGUAUAAUUUUGUGUUAGAUCUAUGAUGUCCAUAAUCAAUCACUUGAUCACUUGCAUAUUAUAUAUUGAUUUUUCUUUUGAGGGGAGAGAGAGAGAGAGAGAUGAGGUUUUGUUUCUGUGUUUAUUGCAGAGGGUUGGGUGUGAGAGUUGGGGUUUUUGAGAAUGGUGUUAUGGAGCUAAGUAGUUGCAAUCAGCAGUGUAAUGUUUGGCUUGCAUUUUAAAAGAGCUCAGCAUGAAAUUGUUCACUAUACAUCAUCUCAUUCGUCCAUGAAAAAACUUGAAUAGUUAUGUUAGGACAAGGAUAAUAUGAAAUUAGAAAAUUUGAGGAUUAUGCUUUUC
rnacentral:lncRNA from 1 species